rnacentral:rRNA from 1 species
UACGUAGGGUGCAAGCGUUGUCCGGAAUUAUUGGGCGUAAAGAGCUCGUAGGCGGUUUGUUGCGUCGGCUGUGAAUCCCGAGGCUCAACCUCGGGUCUGCAGUCGAUACGAGCAAACUAGAGUGUUGCAGGGGAGACUGGAAUUCCUGGUGUAGCGGUGAAAUGCGCAGAUAUCAGGAGGAACACCGGUGGCGAAGGCGGGUCUCUGGGCAACAACUGACGCUGGAGGAGCGAAAGCGUGGGGAGCGAAC